ensembl:lncRNA
GUUCGUAACCUGGAUUCAACACACAGUUUCUCGUGACUUCGUGCGAUUUCCCGUGAUUUCCCGUGAUUUUCACCACUCACUUGAGCAGACCCCACUUUGACAUGGCCCUGAGCUUUAAAAAGGUCAGAGCCUUUUUAUCAUCAAAGGCCUCGACUCCAACAGACGAUGCGACUGAAAACAGAAAGGAGCGUGAACGUUGGCCAUUUUCCAAGGCUGCCAAAAGGCAAUUUGAUGAAAUGCAGGCAGACCAGAAGAAGAUUUUUAAGAGGAAACAUCCAGAGUUCCCUGUGGAUCUGGACCAAGAGCAAAGCGAGUCUGUAGUCAGAAGCUCAGAAAGAUGUCCUUCAUCAGGAAGGCCUUCUGAGUCUGUGUCUACAGUCAACUCCAGAAAAACUUGUGAAAAAGUUUCCAAAUGUACCAGCAGGGACGAUGAGGACUAUGAUGAGGACGCUGAUAAAUUCUCUACACCAGUUGUAGCCCUCAGAUACUCAGAGUCUCUCGACACUUUGGUGUCGGUCCAUGAAGAGUCUGAGUCCGAUGACAGAUCCUCCUAUCAAGAACCAGCGACUGAACUGGUCUCUGCUCCUGAACCCGCCGCUUCCCAGGUCAGAACUGAAUCACAUUCUUCACUCUACUUGUCCCCCGAAGAAAAGGAUGUCGUCAGCGCUCUGCUGCUGAAGGUGAUGGCAAAAUUCUUCUGUAAAUCCAGGGUGUUAGUCACCACAGAGCAACUCCAGAUCAUCCUGAAGCAACUGUUGAUCCUUCUGGAUGAACGCUACCUGUCACCUGACUUCAUCACAAAAAUAACCCAGGAGACGGACAAAAUAUCGAAGGCCAUGGUGAAGGACCUUGACAGGAUGUUUAGCUCUGCAGAAAAGCUGCUGGAGGCAGCGACGACGGCAAAAGAUGAAUCUUUUAAGGACGCUGUGUGGAUGGCUUUGCAGGUUAAUUUAGAAGCCAUCCCUCGACCAGACAAUUUGAAAUCUGGAGACACCAGGUUCUUCUCAGCGGUGGGAAGAGGCUUCAGCGAAAACUUUCGCCGUUUGAAGAAGAGUUGGGCAGGUUCUAAUACCGUAGCGAUUAUAUUAGUAAUCCUUUUUUGUGUAUCAGUAUUUCCUCUGUGAGAAAAUCACAGUAGAGAUAAGUCCUUUAUUUUUCCCCAAGCCAGGGGAAAUUCACAUUGUUGUGGAAACGCAAUUCAAGAGAAGAAUUACAAAGGCUUGAGUUUUCCCCGGGAUGCUCCGGUUUCCUCUCACAUCACAAAAACACAAACUAAUUGUACUCUCUAAAUUGCCCCCAACAAAGAAAAGAAAAAAAAUAUCUCAAAGAAAAGUGAAAUGUAAGGGCAGCAGGGUGGAAUCAGUGAAGAGCACAGCAGCCUCAUAAAAACGACUCCACUACUCUGGUGGGCUGUUUUCUGUGGCCACUUCUGUUUUCUCCCCGUGCAAAUUGAUUAAUUGGACUCUCUAAAUUGCCUCCCAAAAACAAAAAGAAAAGAAAAAAAUAAAACCAAAUAAAAAUAAAAGAAAAAAAAUCUAUUAUCAGUCAUUAUCAGCAAAUAAAUAUAAUUUCGCCUUAAUUCUACAUUUGUUUGUUUCUCUCAGUAAAUGCACCACAUUCUGGUUGUUGUUGUUCAAACACUGGUGGUUCUGAUUUAAACAGAACUAAAGCUCAGAAGGUAGUUUUUAGUACUGAACAGGGUUCAUAUGGUGGACAAGAGCUUGUUGUUCCAACAAUGUCAUUGUUUUUUCA